rnacentral:rRNA from 1 species
GCUAAAAAUCUAGCCCCACUAAACUAAAUUAAACAAUUUAAUAUUCAACUGAAACUAAAACAUUUACUAUACCCCAGUAAAGGCGAUUGAAAAGUUAAUUAGCGCUAUAACGAAAGUCCCGCAAGGAAAAGAUGAAAUAAAAAUGAAAUAAAUGUUCAGCACAAAAAAGCAGAGCUAACCCCUCGUACCUUUUGCAUCAUGGUUUAACUAGUAUAACCCAGCAAAAAGUAUUAAAGUUUGGCCCCCCGAAACUAAACGAGCUACUUCGGGGCAGCUUUAUGAGCCCACCCGUCUCUGUUGCAAAAGAGUGGGAUGACCCCCAAGUAGCGGUGACAGACCUAACGAGUUUAGUGAUAGCUGGUUACUUAAGAAAAGGAUUUAAGUCCUGCCUAAAACACCUCUAAUUUAUUUAAAAUAACUUACAUGUUUUAGAAACACUCAAAUGAGGUACAGCCCGCUUGAGAUAAGGAUACAACCUAUGCCAAUGGGUAACCUUUCACCUAUAUAAUAACCAAGUGGGCCUAAAAGCAGCCACCUUUUAAAAAGCGUCAAAGCUUAUUUUUAUUAUCCCUUAAUACCACAUACAUAUCAGAACCCUUCACCACUAUUAAGUAAUUCUAUAUAAAUAUAGAAGAUAUAAUGUUAAAACUAGUAACAAGAAGUAGACCUUCUCUUAAAUGUAAGUGUAAAUCAGUAAGGACUAACCACUGAUAAUUAAACACCAAUGAGUAUAGAACAACAACGCACUUAGAAAACCCUGUUUUAUUUUACGUUAAUCUAACACAAGAACAUUACAAGAAAGAUUUAAAGAAAAAGAAGGAACUCGGCAAAUAUUAACCUCGCCUGUUUACCAAAAACAUCGCCUCUUGUCUAAAUAUAAGAGGUCCAGCCUGCCCAGUGACCUAGUUCAACGGCCGCGGUAUCCUAACCGUGCGAAGGUAGCAUGAUCACUUGUUCUUUAAAUGAGGACUCGUAUGAACGGCACCACGAGGGUUAUACUGUCUCCUUUUUCUAAUCAGUGAAACUGUUCUCCCCGUGAAGAAGCGGGGAUGAAGAUAUAAGACGAGAAGACCCUAUGGAGCUUUAAACUACUAAGACACUGGCUUAUCCAUUUUAUGUUUCAGAACCACAAUACUUAUAUUAGCCUAAAUGCCUGCUAGUUUUAGGUUGGGGUGACCGCGGAGCAAAAAUCAACCUCCACAUUGAAAGGGAUUAACCCUGAAUUUAGAGCAACAACCCUAAAUACCAACAAAUUGACAUCCAUUGACCCAACAUUUUGAUCAACGAACCAAGUUACCCUAGGGAUAACAGCGCAAUCCGCUUCAAGAGCCCAUAUCGACAAGCGGGUUUACGACCUCGAUGUUGGAUCAGGGUCUCCCAGUGGUGCAGCCGCUACUAAUGGUUCGUUUGUUCAACGAUUAAAACCCU